GACGUCUUCCUUAAUCCAGAACGAAGGUGGGUGGAGCAAAGACGAUCAGAUACCGUCGUAGUACCGACGGUAAACGCUGCCGACCGGGCCGCGGACGAGGCUCGAGAACAGCGGUUAUGGACCCGUCCGUGGCGGCUUCGGGCAACCUGAGAGUUUACGGGUUCCGGGGGUAGUAUGGUCGCAAGGCUGAAACUUGAAGGAAUUGACGGAAGGGCACCACAAGGAGUGGAGCCUGCGGCUUAAUUUGACUCAACACGGGGCAACUUACCCGGUCCGGACAUCGUCAGGAUUGACAGACGCUCGUGCAGUUCUUUCUCGAUUCGAUGGGUGGUGGUGCAUGGCCGUUCGUGGCUGGUGAAGUGAAAAGUCUGGUUUAUUCCGCUAACGGGCGAGGCCUCGCCCUUAACUAGUCGGCUCGUGGUUCUCGAAUCGUAGUCUCCCUUCGGGGAGCAGGGAGAACAUCGGGCGAGUCGCAGCGAUCGUCGCUACUUCUUAGGGGGAUCCCGAGCAAGCUUAAGCUAGGUGAGAGAGAUCAAUAACAGGUCAGUGAUGCCCUUAGAUGUCCGGGGCCGCACGCGCGCUACACUGAAGACGAAAGCGCGAGUGCCUACGGUCUUGGUUUGGUCAGGCCGGGAACCCGCCCCGAGAGGGGAGGUUGGGGCUGUUCCUUCACGGGGGCAGUCUCGCCUACUGCGGGUUAACCGUGCCAAUCGUCUUCGUGCUGGGGAUCGGGGCUUGCAACUCAGCCCCGGAACGAGGAAUUCCGAGUAGGCGUCCGUCAUCAGCUGCGCCGAU
rnacentral:ncRNA from 1 species